rnacentral:misc_RNA from 1 species
GAUGAAGAACGUAGUGAAAUGCGAUAAGUAAUGUGAAUUGCAGAAUUCAGUGAAUCAUCGAAUCUUUGAACGCACAUUGCGCCCCUCGGCAUUCCGGGGGGCAUGCCUGUUCGAGCGUCAUUUCAACCAUCAAGCUCAGCUUGGCAAUGGGCCGUCGUCCGCCGCCCUCCAGGGCGCGGGCGUGCCCCGAAACCGUCGGCAGGGUCACGCGACCGGCCGGGCGUAGCAGAAAAGGAAGGCUCACGCCGACCCCUCACGUCCGACCGGCGCGCGCCAGGCCGUUAAACCCAGCCCAGGGAACCCUCGCGGGGGACCGGGGCGAAACACCAAGGUUGACCUCGGAUCAGGUAGGGAUACCCGCUGAACUUAAGCAUAUCAAUAAGCGGAGGA